UCCAUCUCCUUUCUCCCUCAACAUUAACGAUUUCCCAGAGAGUUGGGUAUGGAUGUAAGGUUCUUAUCUUCAACUUUGAAUGAAAUUUCGAUUUUCAUUAUUUCACACUAUUUUGAAAAAUGAAAAGAGGAAACUCAAGUUCCUCAAUCUUAUCAAUCACCCACAGACGACAACCUUAUAAAAUACACCCCCGGCGUACCACAUUCACAAUUCACAAACUCAAAAUCAGUCGAAGGAGAAAAGAAGAACGAAAAUCUAAACCUAGGGUUUUUCAGGUUCUUCCAAAUAUCUCACUUCUACUGUAAGAAAAAGAAAAAUUACCCAAAUAAUCUAGGGUUUUUGGAUAAUAAUUCUGGAAUUCGAAACCCUAGAGUUAUGGAUUUCGAUGAUAUUGAGUAUCUAGAGAAAGGAGUAGAAGAUCCAGAGAAUUCAAAAGCUGAAAAUCAAUCAUCAGGCGGAAGAAAAGAAGGCGAGAAGAGUUAUAGGAGUAGUAGAAGAAGAGCUGAAGAUGAUGAAAAUGGUGCUGUUGAUGAUGAUGAAGAAAAAGAUAGGAUCAGCAACUUACCAGAUUCCUUAAUUCAUCACAUCGUAUCUUCUAUUAAUAUGAAAUUUGCAGUCCAGACUUGUGUGUUAUCUAAAAGAUGGCGGUAUAUGUGGACUUUUCUGCCCGUCCUAAAUCUCUGUAAUGCCAAUCGCUCAAAUGAUGAAGGGCGCUUUAUAAAUUUGUGCACAAGGUGCCCAGUCUUCGUGACAACAACUCUGAUAUACAAAGGUUUUAUCUAUUCCAUGAUCUCUGUUAUGAAAUAUAUAGCUGCAUAGAUAGAUGGAUUGCUACUGCUGUCAGCCAUAAUGUUCAAGAGAUGUGUAUUUACCUCACCCCCGACGAUUUUAAGAUCCCUCUUUGUCUAUGCACUUGUAAAUCAUUGACAAAGCUUGAGCUUCUAUUGACUGGUUAUGGAGAUACUUAUUGUAAAGCCAAGAUUAUUCUACCUGAUCAUGAAAUGAGUUUACCUCUGAAAUCACUGCUUCUGAUACUUUGUGAUAUAUUCUUUGUUGAUGAAGAACUAACGAAUAGGUUCUUUUCGAGUUUUCUUUCUCUAGAAUAGUUGGUUAUGGUAUUAGAGGGUAAUCCAUUUCCUGAAAUGAAUCUCAAUAUUUCCUUGCCUAAACUUAAGCAUUUUGAGUUUGAUACUUGGGAUUAUGAAAGCAGCGGAGAGGUUAAACUGCAUGCUCCAAGUCUGUCAUCCUUCAUUUUCCAUAGUUGCUUGUCGACAAAUCUCACUUUAAUGAAUCUUUCAUCUCUAGCCACUGCUGAUAUUAAGAUACUCAUUAGUAGUCAAGUGAAAUUGGGCAUUCGAACUGAAGUGCCAGAAAUUUGUGCCCGACGUGCUGUGGGACUUUUGAGAGGGAUUCGUAACGUGGAAGUCUUAACCUUAGACCAUAAUUUCAUCAAGGCUUUAGGUGGAGCUCCUGAUAUACUGGACAAUUUAAUAUUCAAUUAAUAUUCAACCAACUGAACAAUUUAAUAUUCAACAUUUGAAGCUCCAGACCUACCUUUCGAGGGACUGCCUGCGUCCAAUAUUCUUCGUACUGAACAAUUCUCCCACUAUAGAAUCCAUUUCCCUGCAGAUAUCACAGGUAAAAUCUGAUCCGGAUAACAUAGGAGACUACUGGGAUGCAGGGUUGUCUUUGCCGUGCAGGAUAUGUCAUCUAAAGAUUGUCGAGAUUAAAGGUCUUCUUGGGCGUGUUACUGAACUACAAUUUUUGGAGCUUCUGUUGAAACAUGCCACGGUCUUGGAGAAAGUGGUACUCAUCAGUUAUUCAACUGAACAAGACUCAGAAAGGGAGAAACAGAUGACGAAAUUCAGUGAGAUGCUGUUAACAUUUCCUACAGCGUCUAAGGAAAUCCGUAUCUUGUUAAAAUUCUGAGUAGAAUUGGAUCUCAUAGAACCCGGAUGAGCCAAGAGAACUAUUUUUCGAUUUCCUUGAUUCCGAAAGUAUGAUACAAGCUCCUUAUGUUUGUGGUAGAUGCCGAAAUCUCUUUCUCAGUUGCAAUAAUAUUUAUCAAAAUCCAUAAUGUUGUUGCUGGUGUUUAUCGUCUUUUGCAUCAUCUGACUCCUAAAAAAACAUAUUGUCCUGUGUCUCUGAUACUGUAUGUGUAAGGUACAGUAAAUGUUUCUGGAGAGGGCUUCUUGAAACUCCUGUAGUAUUUUUUGAUGUACCCCAAGUCUAAUGAGCUUCUAGACUUAUAAACACCAGCAAGAGAACUGUUUUUCGAUUUCUUUGAUUCUGAAGUAUGAUACAGGCUCCUUAUGUUUGUGAUAGAUGCCGAAAUCUCUUUCUCAGUUGCAAUAAUAUUUAUCAAAAUCCAUAAUUUUAGUUGUUGCUGGUGUUUAUUGUCUUUUGCAUCCUAAAAAAACAUAUUGUCCUGUUUCUUUGAUAGUGCACGUGUAAGGUACAGCAAAUGUUUUUGGAGAGGGCUUCUUGAAAUUCCUGUAAUAUUUUUUUGAUAUACCCCAAGUCUAAUGAGCUUCUAGAGAUAUAAGGAGAUGGGUACCAUGUAAUGCUUGGGGAGUAUUGUCUUAUGGCAGAACAUCAAAAAUCCUUGCAUCUUUACUUUAAACCUCAUUGAUGUUAUUGAAAUGAAAAAAAGCUUAGCACAACUCUUCUCUU